GCGCCCGUAGCUCAAUUGGAUAGAGCAUCUGGCUACGAACCAGAAGGUUAGGUGUUCAACUCACCUCGGGCGCG
rnacentral:tRNA from 1 species